rnacentral:misc_RNA from 1 species
CGCACCUUGCGCUCCUUGGUAUUCCGAGGAGCAUGCCUGUUUGAGUGUCUUGAAGUCAUCAACCCAAGCCGUUUUACUGCGGCCGACGGUUGGACCUGGGGUGUGCUGCCGUGAGGCUGCUCCCCUCAAAUGUGUCGGUUGGGCCUGUGGGUCGAACUCGAAAGGGCGUUGUACCAUCCUCGCUCCCUCGAGAUGCCUCCCCUCCCGUGCCCCUCCACGACCUGCCUCUGAAGGGUGGCGGUCAAACCUUUUGAAAUCUGACCUCAAAUCAGGUAGGACUACCCGCUGAACUUAA